rnacentral:rRNA from 1 species
UACGUAGGUGGCGAGCGUUAUACGGAAUGAUUGGGCGUAAAGGGUGCGUAGGCGGCCUGCUAAGUCUGGAGUGAAAGGUACCGGCUCAACCGGUACAGGCUCUGGAAACUGGCGGGCUAGAGAGCAGGAGAGGGCGGUGGAACUCCAUGUGUAGCGGUAAAAUGCGUAGAUAUACGGAGGAACACCAGUGGCGAAGGCGGAUUGCUGGACAGUAACUGACGCUGAGGCGCGAAAGCGUGGGGAGCAAACAGG